AGGGGAGAGUGGAAUUCCAUGUGUAGCGUUGAAAUGCGUAGUAUAGGAGGAACACCGUUGCCGAAAGCGGCUCCUCUGGUCUGUAACUGACGCUGAGGCUCGAAAGCGUGGGGAGCGAACAGGAUUAGAUACCCUGGUAGUCCACGCCGUAAACGAUGAGUGCUAGGUGUUAGGUCCUUUCCGGGACUUAGUGCCGCAGCUAACGCAUUAAGCACUCCGCCUGGGGAGUACGACCGCAAGGUUGAAACUCAAAGGAAUUGACGGGGGCCCGCACAAGCGGUGGAGCAUGUGGUUUAAUUCGAAGCAACGCGAAGAACCUUACCAGGUCUUGACAUCCCGAUGCUAUUUCUAGAGAUAGGAAGUUUCUUCGGAACAUCGGUGACAGGUGGUGCAUGGUUGUCGUCAGCUCGUGUCGUGAGAUGUUGGGUUAAGUCCCGCAACGAGCGCAACCCUUAUUGUUAGUUGCCAUCAUUGAGUUGGGCACUCUAGCGAGACUGCCGGUAAUAAACCGGAGGAAGGUGGGGAUGACGUCAAAUCAUCAUGCCCCUUAUGACCUGGGCUACACACGUGCUACAAUGGCUGGUACAACGAGUCGCAAGCCGGUGACGGCAAGCUAAUCUCUGAAAGCCAGUCUCAGUUCGGAUUGUAGGCUGCAACUCGCCUACAUGAAGUCGGAAUCGCUAGUAAUCGCGGAUCAGCACGCCGCGGUGAAUACGUUCCCGGGCCUUGUACACACCGCCCGUCACACCACGAGAGUUUGUAACACCCGAAGUCGGU
rnacentral:rRNA from 1 species